GAUGAACGCUGGCGGCGUGCCUAAUACAUGCAAGUCGAGCGAAUGGAUUAAGAGCUUGCUCUUAUGAAGUUAGCGGCGGACGGGUGAGUAACACGUGGGUAACCUGUCCAUAAGACUGGGAUAACUCCGGGAAACCGGGGCUAAUACCGGAUAACAUUUUGAACCGCAUGGUUCGAAAUUGAAAGGCGGCUUCGGCUGUCACUUAUGGAUGGACCCGCGUCGCAUUAGCUAGUUGGUGAGGUAACGGCUCACCAAGGCAACGAUGCGUAGCCGACCGGAGAGGGUGAUCGGCCACGCUGGGACUGAGACACGGCCCAGACUCCUACGGGAGGCAGCAGCAGGGAAUCUUCCGCAAUGGACGAAAGUCUGACGGAGCAACGCCGCGUGAGUGAUGAAGGCUUUCGGGUCGUAAAACUCUGUUGUUAGGGAAGAACAAGUGCUAGUUGAAUAAGCUGGCACCUUGACGGUACCUAACCAGAAAGCCACGGCUAACUACGUGCCAGCCGCCGCGGUAA
rnacentral:rRNA from 1 species